CAUGGCUCAGAUUGAACGCUGGCGGCAGGCUUAACACAUGCAAGUCGAACGGUAACAGGAAGAAAGCUUGCUUUCUUUGCUGACGAGUGGCGGACGGGUGAGUAAUGCUUGGGAAUCUGGCUUAUGGAGGGGGAUAACUACGGGAAACUGUAGCUAAUACCGCGUAAUAUCGAGAGAUUAAAGGGUGGGACCGCAAGGCCACCUGCCAUGAGAUGAGCCCAAGUGGGAUUAGGUAGUUGGUGAGGUAAAGGCUCACCAAGCCGACGAUCUCUAGCUGGUCUGAGAGGAUGACCAGCCACACUGGAACUGAGACACGGUCCAGACUCCUACGG
rnacentral:rRNA from 1 species